AGUGAACGCUGGCGGUAGGCCUAACACAUGCAAGUCGAACGGCAGCACAGUAAGAGCUUGCUCUUACGGGUGGCGAGUGGCGGACGAGUGAGGAGUACAUCGGAAUCUACUUUUUCGUGGGGGAUAACGUAGGGAAACUUACGCUAAUACCGCAUACGACCUACGGGUGAAAGCAGGGGAUCUUCGGACCUUGCGCGAUUGAAUGAGCCGAUGUCGGAUUAGCUAGUUGGCGGGGUAAAGGCCCACCAAGGCGACGAUCCGUAGCUGGUCUGAGAGGAUGAUCAGCCACACUGGAACUGAGACACGGUCCAGACUCCUACGGGAGGCAGCAGUGGGGAAUAUUGGACAAUGGGCGCAAGCCUGAUCCAGCCAUACCGCGUGGGUGAAGAAGGCCUUCGGGUUGUAAAGCCCUUUUGUUGGGAAAGAAAAGCAGCAGGUUAAUACCCCGCUGUUCUGACGGUACCCAAAGAAUAAGCACCGGCUAACUUCGUG
rnacentral:rRNA from 1 species